UGAGCCCUACGGGGGGCAGCAGUGGGGGAUAUUGCACAAUGGGGGGAACCCUGAUGCAGCGACGCCGCGUGGGUGAAGAAGCGCUUCGGCGCGUAAAGCCCUGUCAGCAGGGAAGAAGCAAGACGGUACCUGACUAAGAAGCCCCGGCUAACUACGUGCCAGCAGCCGCGGUAAUACGUAGGGGGCGAGCGUUAUCCGGAUUCACUGGGUGUAAAGGGAGCGUAGACGGCCAUGCAAGCCAGGGGUGAAAGCCCGGGGCCCAACCCCGGGACUGCCCUUGGAACUGCAUGGCUGGAGUGCGGGAG
rnacentral:rRNA from 1 species